AAGGGCUGCAGUAUUUUGACUGUACAAAGGUAGCAUAAUCAUUAGUCAUUUAAUUGGUGACUUGAAUGAAGGAUUGGAUGAAAUAUAAACUGUCUCUUAAUUAUGUUAUAUAGAAUUUAAUUUUUUUAUCAAAAAGUUAAAAUAAUUUAAAAAGACGAGAAGACCCUAUAGAGUUUUAUAAAUAUUUUAAUUAAGAUUAUUUGUAGGUUAAGUUUAAAAUUAGAUUAUUUAUUUUAUUGGGGUGAUAGAAAAAUAUAUUAAACUUUUUAUAUAUAUAUAUAUAUAUAUAUUAACAUUUAUAAGUGAUUAAAUGAUCCAAUAAUAUUGAUUAUAAGAAAAAAUUACCUUAGGGAUAACAGCGUAAUUUUUUUUUUUAGCUCAAAUAAGAAAAAGAGUUUGCGACCUCGAUGUUGGAUUAAGAUAAAAUUUGAAUGUAGAAG
rnacentral:rRNA from 1 species